CCUACGGGCGGCAGCAGUGGGGAAUAUUGCGCAAUGGGCGAAAGCCUGACGCAGCGACGCCGCGUGAGGGAUGAAGGUCUUCGGAUCGUAAACCUCUGUCAGCAGGGAAGAACGGUCACUGUGCUAAUCAGCAGUGAAUUGACGGUACCUGCAAAGGAAGCACCGGCUAACUCCGUGCCAGCAGCCGCGGUAAUACGGAGGGUGCGAGCGUUAAUCGGAUUUACUGGGCGUAAAGCGAUCGUAGGCGGUAUGUCAAGUCAAGGGUGAAAUCCCCGCGCUCAACGGGGGAACUGCCUUUGAAACUGGCAAACUGGAGUGUGUGAGAGGAUAGUGGAAUUCCAGGUGUAGGAGUGAAAUGCGUAGAUAUCUGGAGGAACAUCAGUGGCGAAGGCGACUAUCUGGCACAUAACUGACGCUGAGGAGCGAAAGCGUGGGUAGCAAACAGGAUUAGAUACCCUAGUAGUC
rnacentral:rRNA from 1 species